rnacentral:tRNA from 1 species
UGGGAGGUGGUGUAACUGGCAACACGCCGUCCUUUGGAGUCGGUGUUCAGGGUUCGAUCCCCUGCCUCCCAGCCA